GAAAAUAUCUCUCCUUGGUGUAAAUAAGAAUUAAGAAUGCUGCCCAAGUACAUAUAUAUAUCUCUCAACAAUGCAAUUUCUGUCUCACUGCAAUUGGAAAGUAAUUUUAAUCAUCAGUUUAUUGUUAUUUCUUGUUAUUGUCUUUUUUAUUAUUGUUAUUGAAUUCUGUUCUUUGUUUUUGGUUAUUCUUUCCUCAGUUUUGUGAUAUCAUGCAAUGUUUUUACCUAGCAUUAUAAGAUUGAUAUUAAGCAAAGAAAAAAAAGAUGUCGACUUUUUUUAUAAUGGUAUUGAAGAAUUUUUUACCCAAUAUUAUGAGUUUAAUUUAAGGCAUAUUGUAAAUUAUGUACAAAAUAAUUUAGACCUAUUGUUUCAUUAUGAAGAACAAACUGCUGAUACAUUUAAGUGACCUUGAAGAUUUUUAAUACAACCUUUUCUUAAAUGAAUGAGAGGAUUUUGUUAUUUUCGAAGUUGCACUUAUGAUUUUCGUAGGACAUGCACAAAAAACGUAAAUUAGAAGGGUCGAUUUAUCUAAUCAUAGAUUUUAGAAUUGUAUUCAAUAUCAUUGUUUUGCAUUUAUAAUGACUUUUCAAUUGCAUUCUUGUAAUGUUUUCUCCAUAAGAUUUGUUAUUGCAUGAUUGGCAAUAUUGAUAUGAUGAAUUAAACUUUAUAAAACUAC
rnacentral:sRNA from 1 species